AACGAACGCUGGCGGCAGGCUUAACACAUGCAAGUCGAGCGCCUCGCAAGGGGAGCGGCAGACGGGUGAGUAACGCGUGGGAACAUGCCCAAAGGUACGGAACAACUCCGGGAAACUGGAGCUAAUACCGUAUGUGACCGAGAGGUGAAAGAUUUAUCGCCUUUGGAUUGGCCCGCGUUGGAUUAGCUAGUUGGUGGGGUAAAGGCCUACCAAGGCGACGAUCCAUAGCUGGUCUGAGAGGAUGAUCAGCCACACUGGGACUGAGACACGGCCCAGACUCCUACGGGAGGCAGCAGUGGGGAAUAUUGGACAAUGGGCGCAAGCCUGAUCCAGCCAUGCCGCGUGUGUGAUGAAGGCCUUAGGGUUGUAAAGCACUUUCGCCAGGGACGAUAAUGACGGUACCUGUAGAAGAAGCCCCGGCUAACUUCGUGCCAGCCGCCGCCGUAACAC
rnacentral:rRNA from 1 species